rnacentral:rRNA from 1 species
CCUACGGGUGGCUGCAGUCGAGAAUCUUUCACAAUGGGGGCAACCCUGAUGGAGCGACGCCGCGUGGAGGAUAAGGUCUUCGGAUUGUAAACUCCUGUCAUGCGAGAACAAGGUUGCAGGGCUAACACCUUUGCAAAUUGAUGGUACCGCAAGAGGAAGAGACGGCUAACUCUGUGCCAGCAGCCGCGGUAAUACAGAGGUGUCAUCCGUGGUUCGGAAUCGUGCGGCGUAAAGGUGGCAUAGGUGAUGUGAAAGCCCGGGGCUCAACCUCGGAAUUGCAUCCGAUACUGCCAUGCUGGAGUACUGAAGAGGUGACUAGAAUUCUAGGUGUAGCAGUGAAAUGCGUAGAUAUCUAGAGGAAUACCAACGGCGAAGGCAGGUCACUGGGCAGUUACUGACACUGAGGCACGAAGGCCAGGGGAGCAAACGGGAUUAGAUACCCCUGUAGUC